rnacentral:rRNA from 1 species
AUUGAACGCUGGCGGCAUGCCUUACGCAUGCAAGUCGAACGGUAACAGGUCUUCGGAUGCUGACGAGUGGCGAACGGGUGAGUAAUACAUCGGAACGUGCCUAGUAGUGGGGGAUAACUACUCGAAAGAGUGGCUAAUACCGCAUGAGAUCUACGGAUGAAAGCAGGGGAUCGCAAGACCUUGUGCUACUAGAGCGGCCGAUGGCAGAUUAGGUAGUUGGUGGGAUAAAAGCUUACCAAGCCGACGAUCUGUAGCUGGUCUGAGAGGACGAUCAGCCACACUGGGACUGAGACACGGCCCAGACUCCUACGGGAGGCAGCAGUGGGGAAUUUUGGACAAUGGGCGAAAGCCUGAUCCAGCAAUGCCGCGUGCAGGAUGAAGGCCUUCGGGUUGUAAACUGCUUUUGUACGGAACGAAAAAGCUUCUCCUAAUACGAGAGGCCCAUGACGGUACCGUAAGAAUAAGCACCGGCUAACUACGUGCCAGCCGCCGCCGUAACAC